rnacentral:misc_RNA from 1 species
UUAAACUUAUUAAAAUACUCAGACAACACUAAAUCAAGAGUUUGAGAUCCUCUGGCAGGCGCUGACCAGCCGAAGCCGGCGGCCCAAAAGGCGGGCCUGCCAAAGCAACAAAAGGUAUGGUAAACAAAGGGUGGGAGAUCUACCCCGAGGGGCAGGUUCUCUGUAAUGAUCCUUCCGCAGGUUCACCUACGGAAA